GAUGAACGCUGGCGGCGUGCCUAACACAUGCAAGUCGAACGAGGGUUAGCAAUAAUCCUAGUGGCGCACGGGUGAGUAACACGUAGCUGACCUGCCCCGAACAGGGGGAUAACUGACCGAAAGGUUGGCUAAUACCCCAUAAGCUCACGGCUGUUAGAGAGCUGCGAGAAAAGUUCCGGCGGUUCGGGAGGGGGCUGCGUCCCAUCAGGUAGUUGGUGUGGUAAAGGCGCACCAAGCCAUCGACGGGUAGGGGGCCUGAGAGGGUGACCCCCCACACUGGAACUGAGACACGGUCCAGACUCCUACGGGAGGCAGCAGUGAGGAAUAUUGCUCAAUGGGCGCAAGCCUGAAGCAGCGACGCCGCGUGGGCGAUGAAGGUCUUCGGAUCGUAAAGCCCUUUUCUCCGGGACGAGCAAGGACGGUACCGGAGGAAUAAGUGUCGGCUAACUACGUGCCAGCAGCCGCGGUAAAACGUAGGACGCAAGCGUUAUCCGGAAUUACUGGGCGUAAAGCGCGUGUAGGCGGAUGCGUAAGUCACUGUUGAAAGCGCCGGGCUAAACUCGGCGAGGUGCGGUGAGACUGCGCGUCUAGAGACUGUCAGAGGGAUGCAGAAUUCCGGGUGUAGUGGUGAAAUGCGUAGAGAUCCGGAGGAAUACCAGAGGCGAAGGCGGCAUCCUGGGACAGCACUGACGCUGAGACGCGAAAGCAUGGGGAGCGAACGGGAUUAGAGACCCCGGUAGUCCAUGCCGUAAACGAUGCAAACUAGAUGUGUGCGCUCUACGGGGCGUGUGCGUCGCAGCCAACGCGAUAAGUUUGCCGCCUGGGGAGUACGGUCGCAAGGCUAAAACUCAAAGGAAUUGACGGGGGCCCGCACAAGCAGCGGAGCGUGUGGUUUAAUUCGAGGCUACACGAAGAACCUUACCUGGGUUUGACAUCCCUUGACGGCACAUGAAAGUGUGCUUUCCUUCGGGACAAGGAGACAGGUGCUGCAUGGCUGUCGUCAGCUCGUGUCGUGAGAUGUUCGGUUAAGUCCGAAAACGAGCGCAACCCUCGGUCUGUGUUACAGGUGUCACGGACGACUGCCGGCGGCAAGCCGGAGGAAGGUGGGGAUGACGUCAAGUCAGCAUGGCCUUUAUAUCCAGGGCUACACACACGCUACAAUGGGUGGUACAGUGGGUUGCCAAGGCGCGAGCCGGAGCCAAUCCUGCAAAGCCAUUCGUAGUUCGGAUUGCAGGCUGCAACUCGCCUGCAUGAAGCUGGAGUUGCUAGUAACCGUGCAUCAGCAUGGCACGGUGAGUACGUUCCCGGGCCUUGUACACACCGCCCGUCACGUCAUGAGAGUUCGUCACGCCUGAAGUCGGGAAGGUAACCGCGAGGAGCCUACCGCCGAAGGCAGGGCGGAUGAUUGGGACGAAGUCGUAACAAGGUAGCUGUAGCGGAAGC
rnacentral:rRNA from 1 species